rnacentral:rRNA from 16 species
ACAGUGUCGCGAUAGUAAUUCAACCUAGUACGAGAGGAACCGUUGAUUCACACAAUUGGUCAUCGCGCUUGGUUCAAAAGCGAGUGGCGCGAAGCUACCGUGUGCCGGAUUAUGACCGAACGCCUCUAAGUCAGAAUCCAAGCUAGCAUGCGACGCCUGCGCCCGCCGCUCACCCCGACCCACGUUAGGGGCGCUUGCGCCCCCAAGGGUCCGUGCCAUGGGCUAAGUCGGUCCAGCCGAUGUGUCGUGACCGGCCGCCUCGAAGCUCCCUUCCCAACGGGCGGUGGGCUGAAUCCUUUGCGGAUGACUUAAAUACGCGACGGGGCAUUGUAAGUGGCAGAGUGGCCUUGCUGCCACGAUCCACUAAGAUCCAGCCCCAUGUCGCACGGAUUC